rnacentral:lncRNA from 1 species
CAAGCACUGAGCAGCAACAGAGCAGGUUUGCAGGUUUCCCUAGGAGAUGGAGACCAGCUUGCACACUUUAAAGCUCCAGCUCUUCUCCCUCUCUUGGCCUCGCUGGCACUGGGUGUUCUGGAGAACAGAGGUGUUUCUCAAGGCUCAGGAUAUUGUAUAGGAUGGGAAAAAGCCUUUUCUGCUCUUCCCUCCCUGAUGGUUAUCUCAGAAAGCAUUACAAGGGAAAGGUUCAACAAUGGUUAUGGUAGAAGGGAAUAAACUCUGUAUAGCUCAUAAUGGCAGCCACACUUCAUUCAAACCUUUGUCUCUACACUCACUUCAAGUCAAUAAACUGUAACAGCUGGAGCUGGAGAACUGUAUU